UGUCAAUGGGGGAAACCCCGAACAGGGGGCGCCAAGUGCAUGCGUUUUACGUAUGCUGUUCAGUUGUCUAAAAACAGCCGAAGUAAGGGCUGGGUAAGACAGGUGCCAGCCGCCGCGGUAAUACCUGCAGCCCAAGUGGUAAUCGUUAUUAUUGAGCCUAAAGCGUCCGUAGCCGGUUUGGUAAAUCCUCGGGUAAAUCGAGCAGCUCAACUGUUCGAACACCGGGGAGACUGCCAGACUUGGAACCGGGAGAGGUCAGAGGUACUCCAGGGGUAGGGGCUAAAUCCUGUAAUCCCUGGAGGACCACCAGUGGCGAAGGCGUCUGACUAGAACGGAUUCGACGGUAAGGGACGAAACCCUGGGGCGCAAACCGG
rnacentral:rRNA from 1 species